rnacentral:piRNA from 1 species
UCUCUGUCUGGAGAGCAAGGUCAGCCU